UGGGAGACAGCAGCAGCUCGUGGGCAUCCCGCUCUGGCAGCUGCUGAGGAGAGUGCCAGGAUGUCAUUAAGAGGUGUUUGUCCAUGCAGCCCUUGGACAGGCCGUCCUUAGAAGAGCUUUUCCACGAUCCUUGGGUGCAGGGUGUUCCUCUGCCCUAGAGGAUGGGAGAGAUCCACGUGCACAGUUGGAUCCAGGGGCCUGGCAGGGAAGGAGAAGGAGCCCCUGGAGAAGCUGCACCAGGUGGGGCUGCUGCUGCUGGAGACACCAAGGACAACCUCAAGGAUGACAAUCUCUUCCUCAGCCUGGCCAGCUGAAGAUGAUGGACUUGGAUUCUGGCACCUUCUCCAAAGCCAGGCUCCACAGGGAAUUUGCAGAUGAGUCCAC